rnacentral:rRNA from 1 species
GAUGAACGCUGGCGGCGUGCUUAACACAUGCCAGUCGAACGAAGCACUUUAUUUGAUUUCCUUCGGGACUGAUUAUUUUGUGACUGAGUGGCGGACGGGUGAGUAACGCGUGGGUAACCUGCCUUGUACAGGGGGAUAACAGUUGGAAACGGCUGCUAAUACCGCAUAAGCGCACGGCAUCGCAUGAUGCAGUGUGAAAAACUCCGGUGGUAUAAGAUGGACCCGCGUUGGAUUAGCUAGUUGGUGAGGUAACGGCCCACCAAGGCGACGAUCCAUAGCCGACCUGAGAGGGUGACCGGCCACAUUGGGACUGAGACACGGCCCAAACUCCUACGGGAGGCAGCAGUGGGGAAUAUUGCACAAUGGGCGAAAGCCUGAUGCAGCGACGCCGCGUGAGCGAAGAAGUAUUUCGGUAUGUAAAGCUCUAUCAGCAGGGAAGAUAAUGACGGUACCUGACUAAGAAGCACCGGCUAAAUACGU